UUAUAUCGGUUGUUGUAACAGUGUUAACAAAAUUGGCAAAAAGAGGCUGACUUUUCCUUUCUCAUAUGACUUUUACUUUAGAAAGUGUUAAAGGAUAAUCUCGGACCAGAUUUGUCUAAGAUGUAAGUUGCACUCACUAACUGAAUUUUGAUUUUAUGAGCUUGUUUGUGUUAGUAUUUUGGUAUAGUUUCUAUUUAUAUUUAUGGUUCCUUGCUUAAAAUAUAGUUUCCUUGAAUCAAGCUAGUAAUUUCAAUUAUGCUAUAGGUUGUUUCAAAUGAUUUUGAGCUUCUGUUUGACUUCGAUGGCUUUUGGUGUCANNNNNNNNNNNNNNNNNNNNGAGAGAUAAUAGGUGGUCUAGUUAGGACCUCACAGGUGCAAUAGAGUUUGUUAUUUUUUCUCUGCUCUGCGGCAGAUUUUCUGCUGUGUUAGACAGUAAUUUCAGCAGGUGUUUUGGUGGACUUUGUGGCUGUCAAUAAUAACUCAUGGUCUAAUGGACAUAGAUAUUUGAGUUGUUUAUUUCUUUCUUUUACAAUAUCAUGUGUUGCAGAUCAUUAAAUCACAUAUCUGGCUUUGCU
rnacentral:lncRNA from 1 species